GAUGGAUCUUGCGCCUGCGCACCUGCGUCCCGGACAUUGCAGCUGACUGCAUGAUGUGGAUGAGGGAUGCACCAGUUUCACGAUAAUUUAAUUCGACACGGUAAAACUUUCCCCGCGGUUCAUCGUACGACUGGUAGGCUAACCGUUUCGUAGUCGGAGCUAACUCCAUUUAAUCAACCAAAUAAAAUGUAAAACUGUCACGUAAUACAGCAUACAAAUAGCACGUGGAUAGGAUUCGCCCCCAGAGGGCACUCGGGAUCACAGUUCAGAGCCCUCGGGCGACGCAGGGGUCAUCCCAACGUGACAACCCCUCCCUGAUCCGGAAAUGGGUGAGCAGUUCGUCAGAUUUCUGUGCAGCGGAAGCGCAUGGCUGUGCAUGCUGACAAGGCCAGUGGGCAGAAAUGUAUCACCCGAUACCCCAGGAACAGUUUAGGACUGCGUGGAACUAGUUGUGAUUGCAGUGAAAUGCAAACCAACGCAAUUCCCAUUAUCGUCCAUCAAGCCAAGCUGCUAAUGCUGGACAAGCUGUGCUCCUCUGCUCCUCCAUCUACUCAUGUCACCUGACGGGACUUAUGUUUGGAAGAGAAAUAAAUAAAUUGUAUUAUUAAGUUCUUGAUUUGUCCAAGCCUCUCGAAAUACG
ensembl:lncRNA